rnacentral:rRNA from 1 species
AUGGCAACGUUGCACAUUUUCUUCCUUAUUGCGACUACGAUCCUCUUCGCCCUCCUCUUACUCCUCCGUUUCCGCCGUGUUCAGGGCGACGGCAGGCGCCUCCCGCCGGGCCCGCCGUCCCUGCUCUUGCUCUUCAUCGCGGCGUGGCUAGGGCUCACCAGCUCGCCGGCCGAGGCGGAGCCCCUGCUCCAACGCCUUGUCAGGCGGUACGGCCCCAUCGUGUCGUUGCGAGUGGGGUCGCGGCUGGCCAUCUUCGUCGCCGACCGACGCCUCGCACACACCGUUCUCGUCCAGCGCGGGGCGGCCCUGGCCGACCGCCCCAGCUUCGCGUCGGCCAGGAUCCUCGGCGCGGACGACAAUUACUCCGUCACCCGCGCCGGCUACGGGCCGGUGUGGCGCCUCCUGCGCCGCAACCUCGUCGCCGGGACGCUGCACCCGUCGCGCGGCCGCCGGUUCACGCACGCACGCUUCUGGGCGCGCCACGUGCUCGUCGAUAAGCUGCGGCGCCUGGCCGACGACGGUGAGGCGCCUGCCCCGGUCACGCCCACGUUCCAGUACGCCGUGUUCUACCUGCUUCUGAUCAUGUGCUUCGGCGAGAGGCUUGACGAGAAGGUGGUGCGCGCCAUCGCCGCCGCGCAGCACGAGCAGGUGCGAUACAUGUUCAGCAAGAUGUCCGUCUUCGCCUUCCUCCCGUCGGUCGCCGAGCACCUCUUCCGCGGACGCGUCCGGAAAAUGCUCUCCCUGCGCCGGCGGCAGAAGGAGUUGUUCCUACCGCUGAUCAACGCGCGUAGGGAGUACAAGGACAAGAAACGCGGCGGCGAGCGCGAGCCGAGGCGGAGCAAAUCGGAGACCACGUUGGAGCACUCGUACGUGGACACGCUGUUCGACGUCAGGCUCCCCGAGGAGGGCAACCGCCCACUCACCGACGACGAGAUGGUCAACCUCUGCUCGGAGUUCCUCACCGCCGGGGCUGACACCACCUCCACCGCACUGCACUGGAUCAUGGCCGAGCUGGUGAAAAACCAGGCCAUCCAGGAGAGGCUCUACAAGGAGAUCAAAGCCAAGACAAAAGACGGCCAUGAAGAGGUAUCCGAGGAAGACAUUCAGAGCAUGCCUUACCUCAAGGCGGUGGUUCUUGAGGGCUUGCGGAAGCACCCGCCCGUGCACUUCGUGCUGCCGCACAUGGCAGCGGAGGACGUGGAGGUCGGCGGGUACCUCGUCCCCAAGGGUGCCACGGUGAACUUCAUGGUCGCCGAGAUGGGGAGGGACGAACGGGAGUGGGAGAAGCCCAUGGAGUUCAUUCCAGAGCGGUUCUCAGGCGGCCGAGGGGUGGACGUGACAGGAGGCAGCACGGGGAUCAGAAUGAUGCCGUUCGGCGUCGGGCGGAGGAUCUGCGCCGGUCUGAACAUUGCCGUGCUUCACCUGCUCUACUUUGUGGCCAACAUGGUGAGAGAAUUCGAGUGGAAGGAAGCGGCCGGCCACGAGAUCGACUUGGCGGAGAAACUCGAGUUCAUGGUCGUCAUGAAGAAGCAGCUGCGCCCACGCCUUGUGCCCCGAAAACCCAACAUGCAAACUGAAGGACACAUGUAA